rnacentral:piRNA from 1 species
UCCACAUUCAGAUCCAUCUCUGUGUGAAGC